UUCUGCACAGGGCAAGGACAGCUCCAAGGAAGCCAGAAUCCACUUCCCCAAAUGUAUUCUUCAAGGCAUAUGCACAACUCACUGUCUCAGCUGACUGCUCCAUCACUACACAAGCCAAGGGAAGGACCUGGAGUUGAAAUCAUUCCAGCCGUAGGCAAAGAGGACGAUGAUGAUGAUGAUGAUGAUGAUGAUGAUGAUGAUGAUGAGCUUGGCACCAACAAAUUAUGGACUCCUCCCAGAGGUCUGGAGGAUGUCAGGUUGGCAAUCUCAGUUUAGUCCAGCUGCCCAUUUCACAGAUGCUUCAGCCAAGGAAACUGAGGCUCGGAGAAGUUAAGGCCUGGCUGGAAUGUGGCUGUGUCACAUGCAUCUUGCUUGCCUCAUCAGAUCCUCGCAGCUCCCCCACCCGUCAGACCAUUGGCUGCUUGCUGGGCCUUGGCCACAGCCAGGGCUGAAGGACUCCAUGGGGUCCCCGCAGUUGUUUCCACAGCUAAAGCCGACCAGCUGCUUUUCCAGCCUGACUUCUCUGAGACCACAUCCCAGGAGGACGUGGGACCUGGCUCCCACAUGGCUGCUAAAGGGGCUGGAGAAUGCAACCCAGAAGUGGGGUGGGGGCGAGAGAGUUCUAUGGGAUGACCUUUGAGCAAUAGGAAAUGGGAGGGUAAAUUCCUUCUUUCUCUCUCCCUUCCUGGAGCCAAGGUUUGCUUGCUGUGAAGUGGC
rnacentral:lncRNA from 10 species